rnacentral:rRNA from 1 species
AUGAACGCUGGCGGCGUGCCUAAUACAUGCAAGUCGAGCGAACAGACGAGGAGCUUGCUCCUCUGACGUUAGCGGCGGACGGGUGAGUAACACGUGGAUAACCUACCUAUAAGACUGGGAUAACUUCGGGAAACCGGAGCUAAUACCGGAUAAUAUAUUGAACCGCAUGGUUCAAUAGUGAAAGACGGUUUUGCUGUCACUUAUAGAUGGAUCCGCGCCGCAUUAGCUAGUUGGUAAGGUAACGGCUUACCAAGGCAACGAUGCGUAGCCGACCUGAGAGGGUGAUCGGCCACACUGGAACGGAGACACGGUCCAGACUCCUAAGGGAGGCAGCAGUAGGGAAUCUUCCGCAAUGGGCGAAAGCUUGACGGAGCAACGCCGCGUGAGUGAUGAAGGUCUUCGGAUCGUAAAACUCUGUUAUUAGGGAAGAACAAAUGUGUAAGUAACUAUGCACGUCUUGACGGUACCUAAUCAGAAAGCCACGGCUAACUACGUG